AUAUCUCAUUAACUGCGGACACGGGACAAGAGAAUAGUGGAUCAGACUUAAAUGAGUUAAAAAAAUUUAUUUCCAGUUUAUGUAGCAGUGUUUGGUUAUAAUUUUUUUUUCUCCUCCCACUACUGCCACGUAUUUCCUUUCAUUUCCAGUCACUUUUCCAAGAAUAACUACAAAAACUCUCAACAAGAAACCAAAACCAUUAAAGGUAUGAUUUCCCAAUUUAAAUUCCUCAGACAUCAUCUGGCUACCUGAUCUCUAUCUAUGAUCUGGAUCUUUCGGCAAUUGCCACCGUUUAAUAGACAUUUUUCCCUUAAGUGACUUGCCCUUUCCGCUGGUUUAGUCGUUUGUUAUGUUAGAUAUGCCAGUCAUGUUUGGAAAACUAGAGCAGCCAGCCAACAUUCAGAUAGAUGUUAGUUCAAAAGGCAAUUAAAAGAAUAAAAGGUCAUUUUCUUAAGGCAAAAAAAGAAAAACAUCAAUUUUACCGGUUUCAACAACUAUGAUAAUGGUGAUGAUAAUAAUUCCUCCGCACACAUGAAAAAUGUUAUGCAGGAAGAAGGAGUGCAAUGAUGAUGAAGAUGAUGGCAAUGAUGAUGUU